AUCUAAAAAUAAAAAUCACAUCGAUCUCAUUGAUGCUGAAAUUAUAGAUCUAACUAUUAGAUCUACCAUAGGAAUCAAAAUAAGUUAGAGAUUGUUAUUAAAUAAAUUUUGAUCUUGACUUUAUUUGAUCCAAUGAUUAGAGAGGGUGUUCAUCAGAUCGCUUACAGCCACACAAAGUCGUCUGACCUCUAUAGAAAAAUCUACGCAAAGACUAGCAC
rnacentral:lncRNA from 1 species